UCGUCCGUAUGUUGCCAGCACGUAAUGGUGGGAACUCAUAUGAGACUGCCGGGGUCAACUCGGAGGAAGGUGGGGAUGACGUCAAAUCAUCAUGCCCCUUAUGUCUUGGGCUUCACGCAUGCUACAAUGGCCGGUACAAAGGGCUGCGAUGUCGUAAGGCGGAGCGAAUCCCAAAAAGCCGGUCUCAGUUCGGAUUGAGGUCUGCAACUCGACCUCAUGAAGUCGGAGUCGCUAGUAAUCGCAGAUCAGCAACGCUGCGGUGAAUACGUUCCCGGGCCUU
rnacentral:rRNA from 1 species